GACGAACGCUGGCGGCGUGCUUAACACAUGCAAGUCGAACGAAGUGGCGUACGGGUGAGUAACGCGUAAUCAACCUGCCCUUCAGAGGGGGACAACAGUGGGAAACGACUGCUCAUACCGCAUACUGAAGGAGGGGAUUGCGUCUGAUUAGCUAGUUGGGGGGGUAACGGCCCACCAAGGCGAUGAUCAGUAGCCGGUCUGAGAGGAUGAACGGCCACAUUGGAACUGAGACACGGCCCAGACUCCUACGGGAGGCAGUAGUGGGGAAUCUUCCGCAAUGGACGAAAGUCUGACGGAGCAACGCCGCGUGAGUGAUGACGGCCUUCGGGUUGUAAAGCUCUGUUAAUCGGGACGCGGUACCGGAAUAUAAAGCCACGGCUAACUACUUGCCAGCAGCGGCGUAAUUC
rnacentral:rRNA from 1 species